GCGCCGGCGCCGGGUGGCAGGAUGGGCUGUAUCCAAAGCAUCACCUGCAAGGCGCGGAUCCGGCGCGAGAACAUCGUGGUGUACGAUGUGUGCGCCACCAUCGACCAGUGCCCCACGCGCAUCGAGGAGACCUCGCCCAUCGUCCUGCGCUACAAGACCCCCUACUUCAAAGCCUCGGCCCGCGUGGUCAUGCCCCCCAUCCCCCGCCACGAGACCUGGGUGGUGGGCUGGAUCCAGGCGUGCAACCAGAUGGAGUUCUUCAACACCUACAGCGACCUGGGCAUGUCCAGCUGGGAGCUGCCCGACCUGAGGGAAGGGAGAGUCAAGGCCAUCAGCGACUCAGAUGGGGUGAGCUACCCCUGGUAUGGGAACACCACGGAAACCGUGACCCUGGUCGGCCCCACCAACAAGAUCUCCAGGUUCUCCGUCAGCAUGAAUGACAACUUCUACCCCAGUGUGACGUGGGCAGUGCCAGUGAGUGACAGCAAUGUGCCCCUGCUCACGAGAAUCAAGAGGGACCAAAGCUUCACCACCUGGCUGGUGGCCAUGAACGCCACCACCAAGGAGAAGAUCAUUCUGCAGACCAUCAAGUGGAGGAUGCGGGUGGACAUUGAGGUGGACCCUCUUCAGCUCUUGGGGCAGCGGGCGCGGCUGGUGGGCAGGACUCAGCAGGAGCAGCCCCGGAUCCUGAGCCGGAUGGAGCCCAUCCCCCCCAACGCACUAGUGAAGCCCAACGCCAACGACGCCCAGGUCCUCAUGUGGAGGCCCAAGCGGGGCCCACCCCUGGUCGUGAUCCCUCCCAAGUAGAGCAGACGGCCUGACUGUGGAGCACACACCGCGAGGCACUCUGCGAGGUUACCAGGGUGGCAGGAGCCACACUGGUCUCUGAGCCAAAGCAGACCUCUCAGCCGGCCGGCCAGCCCCCGCAGCCGUCGCGCAGAGCCCGCGCCCCUCGGCGGCAGGGUCCCUAGGAAACGCCCUUCCUCUUAGGAGUAAGUCGCUGGUUGACAGACUUGCCGUGACUGUCUCCACGCAGCCAUGGUUCGGCGCGGACCAGGAGGGUUCUCCGUUUGACUGUUGCCCAUUUCUGCCCUGCGAGACGCAGGGGACGGCAGUGGAACUAAGCAGUGCCUGUGGUGGCCAGGGCUGCUUCCCCACCAGCUGAAUGGAGUGCAAACAGCCGCACCAGUGUGGUGAGGCACGGCCCCGUGUCGAUGGAGGGGCUGGGGAAGCAGGUGUGAGAGGUGGCAGAGGAGCGGGUGGGGGAGAGGAUGUGCUUUGUCCAUUGACCUCGGCUUGGGACAGGCACUGGAAUGAAGGGGACGCUGGCCAGCCAGGAAUCCAGGCGCUCCGCACCAGAAGGGGGAGCUCCCGGGAACUGUCCAGGGUGCUGGCCCACUAAGCCGUGGAGAUGCCGCUUCCCCUCUCCAAGGCGGCGGAGCCCGGCCUCCUCCCCGCAGAAUGGACGUGCUGUCCCGCCUGCCGCAGCCCUGUGUUUGGGCCCUGCGUGUUUUCGGUGGAGCCCAAACUGAUUUUGUUUACAGCUGCUUAUUCUUCUCCCAUCACCAGCCCUAACUUUACAAAACAGAUUGAUAAGCCAUGAAGCCAUGGAGGGUUUCAACAUUUCAACAGGCAAGAACGGUGUUUUCAGGUCUCCUAGGGGGACAGGGCAAGCCCAGAAGCAGAGCCGCGUGGCAGAGCUGCGGAGGAGACGAGCAUGGCUGAUGUCCCAGGAGCUCAUGUCCCGGACAGCUGACCCCACAGAUGGCGCCCUCCUGCCUGCCUCCCUCACCCUCUGUCCUGCGACCGUACCUCCUGCCCAGCACGGGCCAGCGGGCCUGCUGGUGGGCUUGUGGGGAGCUACUUGGAGACGGGAACCGCGUCUGCUGUAUCUUUUUGUGUGGAAACACUGGGUUCAUCCAGACCACAGGGAAGCCCCCCGAGGACCACGAGCUGGUCAGCCCGGACCCCCAACACCUCACAUAGCCCAGCCCUGGCUCCCACACCCUGCCUCCCGCCCGCACACCUGGUCUCCCCUCCUCCUCCCUCCUCCACGCGGGUAGCUAGCAUCCACCACCUCUUGGAGAGCCAGGGCCAACAGUCAUUCCUCUUGCCGUGGCCAGGAUGGGUGCCUUCUGUGACCACGGGUACCCUGGUGUCACCACGUCAGUGGGGUGAGGAAGAACCACCCGAGGCCACGCCGUCAGAGUGUGUGCUUUUAUUUAUUGGUUUAUUUAUUGGCAUACAUGCUGACCUGUUUAUUUAUGCAAUAUGUAUGUAUGAUACCCAAGCUCCACUUCUGUCUUUGAAGCAUCAGCCCCAGAAUUUGUCUUGUAGGUCCCAAAUGACAGUGAAUUAUUCCUCUCAGAAGCCACAGAAAAGAGGAGACAUUCUCUCCCUCUGCCCACGUACCCCCACUCCAGCCAGAUUUCCCAACAGAAACACCAGCUAGCGAGGCUGUCGGACCCCACGACACAGAGGCUCCCCAUCUGGACAGCAGCCCCAGGGCCUUCCUGACCUGCCCUCCCCUUCGGCUCCUUCCUGACUCCGCGGGUCCUGGCUUUCCAGCUCCCACCCGGCCACCAGGAGCAUGGUGCUCGCGCUGCUCUGACGUAGCAUGUUAACUCCAGAUGCAUCCAUGCCUGCUCUCCACCCAAACCAGUCGCGGCAGGCUGUCCCCACAUGGUGGGCGGGCAGGUGUCCCUCGCUUACCAGGUGAUUCCGCUGUGAAAACAGGGCUGAGAAGUUCUUCCAGCUCUUCUCCCCUCGCCCCUCCCACCACUCAGGUCCCUGCCUCCCGUUUCCGGCUUCCUCUGGAGUCCCCUCCUGUCCCCCAGCCUAGCUCCCCACUGAACAUUCCCACCAGCCCAGCCGGCCUGAGCAGAUGCCUGGAGAGCUGGGCAGUGCCAGAGUCAUGCCCCGAGGCUGGCAGCGGCCCUGCCUGAGCCUGCUCCCGAGUUCAGCUUCUCUAGGAGCCAAAGCCUCUCCCUGCCUGGCCGCUCUCUCCUCCUGCACCUCCCCCAGUCUCCCAAACUCCAAAGGGUUAAAGGGCACAGUGUUGACAUCCCUGUCUCCAAGCCCCAAUCCUAACAGCAAGGCCCACGCCAGUCUCCGUAAGCAAAGCCGGGCCAUUUCCACAGAGCCACCUGAGUUGGCAGAGGGUCUAACUGAUACCAGGAAGGGUCGUGACACCCCAAGCCAGUCUUUCGCCCAACCACCUUGCAGUGGCCACCAUGCAUCCGAAUCCUAGAUGGCCGGGAAGAGACAUGGCCCUUCACAUGGGCGAGGCCUUGACUGCUGAGUGUGUGCACGUGUGCGUGUGAGUGUGCGUGUGCAUGUGUGCACACCCUGUCUGCACAUAAGACCUGGAUCUGCAGAGCUUCCGGAUUUUGACUUUAUGGUCAUAAGAAUCUGCACGAGACAGUUGGGGACUUCUGUCAUCUUUGACUCAACAGGGAUCUGCUGUCCUAUUUUCACGAGGGACCAGUGCAUUCCAUUUUAGGUACAUACCGAGGAUGCUGUAAUAGGCACAGACCCUCGGCCAACCCCACACCCAGAGCCUAGGGUGCCUGUGGUGUGGGGCGGUACCCAGGCUCAGUCUCCCACGGCAAGGACCCCGCUCCGCUGCCCAGCCGUCCCCUGCCUGCAUGGGCACCUCCAAGCCUUCUCUCCCCGCUCUAGCCUGUCCUGCCCCAAGUCCCGUCUCUCAGGGUCCUGCUCUCUGAUAGGUGACAUUCAGUCAGUGGGUGCUAAAGAGUCGAGAGUCACGCUUCACAGGUAGCAUCUGUCUUAACAGGGCUACGGUCAUGCCUUAAUCUGAAGGAGCGGCUGUCGCGGUGGGAACUUCAGGCCAGCCAUGGAGAUCAUUUCUUAUCAGAAGGGCGUUUCAGAGCCCUGAGUCACACCGGUCCUGAGACCAGCCCUCCACCUGCAGAAGCACACUCACCAAGCACAGUCCCUUCCUCUGAGAUGUCCCUGCACUGGCCCCAUCUCUAAAGUGGAAGAAAAAAGCCCAGAAUCAGGCUCAGUCAGUCUGAACCUCCUGGGAAGCAGCCUGUCCUGCACAGGCCUCAGCCAUCUGGCCCCCGCCCGCCCGGCGUCCUCCCGCCCUCCCCGCUGUGCUGCCCCUCGGUCCAGGCUCCUGUGAGUCCCUCUGCCUCUAGCCUCCAACGCUCCCUCCCCUCCCGGCCCCCUGCAGUUGCGCUGGUUCCCGGUGGCCGGGACAGACCCGCAGGUGAAGGGCGGGAGCGUGCGUCUCCCUUCGAAGGAGACCCCAGGUGUCCCGCCACAGUUAGGAGGGAACCCCAGGAGGAAGAGACAAAGCCGGCUCUGCAGAGUGCCUUAAAACGACUUCACUAGGGAUUCUGGGUCGUCGGUCUGGAUGUCGCAUCAACUCAAACAGACGUCGCAUUUCACUUCUCUGGGAUUAAAGACAAAAAGUUAAAUACAGUAUGUAUUCAACACAA